AAACGGAGACUUAUUAGGGAACAAAUUACUAGUGGCAGGGUGGUGGUGUCCUGGUGUCCUGCUUAGAAUGUGAAGAGAGUGCCCCAUCAUUGGCCUAUGCUGUGCAUCUGGGAGGUGGUAGGCCACAGUCCUGAACUGCACAACUGGUAGUGAAAUUCAGAGCAGAAUGCAACAUUUAUUUAAUGGGGCCUCACAGUUGGCCAGUGUCCCUGUGGCCUUUCCCCUUCUUCCUUCCACUCUGUGUCAUGGAGACCCGACUUGAUUUGGCAAGAGAACAACGUACACCUAAGAUUUCCCGAAUAUUUCCCAGCAAGGACCCUGGCUGGCUAUGUUUCUACUUCAGUGGUGACCACAGCAGAUACUGGCAGUUUUCUGUUAUGGCUCUGGGGUCUUUUAAGGAGCAGGAACGUGGAAUAUGUACAAACCUGGAGCCACAGUCAAGUACUAAGCUCCUUGAAGCACAAGGCAUGAGAAUAUCAUGUUUUCUUUUCCUUAGAGGAUUUAUGAAUUAAAACUAAGGAAUAAUUUGUAAUCAGAAUAACACCACCUGGCAGGGAUGUUGAUGAGCUGAGGAAGGCUUAUUUGGAGAUUUCUGGUAUUUUCCAGCUCUGAGACUCCAGACCUAAUAUCCAUGUAAUGGCCAUUAAUGUCUUGUAAUUUAUAACAGUUUUAUCAGUGAUCCAUUACAUUAAUCAUCAUGAGUUGGUGACUUAUCAAGUCCUACAGGUUAUUUGUUAUUUGUAUAACUAUAUAGAGCUAUUUAAUUUACAAACACAAUACUCUUUUGAGGUAGAUACCAGAACCAUUUUACAUUUGAGGAUAUUGAAGCUAGGAAAAAGACUCAGCUCUUGAAGGAAUGGACAUGGGGUGCCCUUGCCUUCCUUGGGGAGAGAGCCACCUAAUCUGUGCAGCUGUAGUUAGGGCCUGCCACCUUAUUCCUCCUCUCCAUCCAGCCCCUACAUUUUGGAAACAAAAAGGCAGCAGUGAUCUGGGAAUUAUUUAAUGCUUAGUUUGACAGGACAAAUUUUAAGGACCUUAAGAGCAACCUUUUAUUUCUUACCAUAUGAGGCACUGGGACAGGCACAGAGAAGUCAAUAUUAUUUGCCCAGUGCAUUUCUUCAUGGCUUCUGCUUUUUAAUCUUAGGCUCACUUUUUUAACCUCAUUGCUCACAUGUUAUGAUUCCUUCCAGAAAGUUCACUGAAAUUCUAAUGUCCCUUGCUGUUCCUUAGGUAACUUAGGAGUAACUUUCCAGCUCUUCCCCUAACUAGUUGUGUGACGUGCAGCAGGCUGCUUAACUUCUGUGUGUCUCAGUUUUCUCAACUGUAAAAUGAAUGAUCCAACCCCUGUGUCAGAAGGAUGGGUGAGGCUCAUGAGGAAUAACACAUAAGAAAUAUGGGAUGCUUACCACAGUGUUUGGUAAAUAACAUGAGUUUCCUCUUCCCUCUUUGAACAGUCCUUUGUAUUCUGCUGAGAGCUUUCCUGUUCAUGCUGCCUCACAACCAAAAGGGGAAAGAAUCCUGAGUCCUGUGCUCAUGAUUUCUCCCUUUGCUAGCUGGUUCAAGGCCAAUCCAGAUACCAUGGUAUUUUCUGAAAGAGUCCCACCCUUCUGUGCAAAAGCCUUCCUCCCAGGGAGACUUGAUAUGACUGAUUAACAAUCCAAUUAACACUCUGGAACAAUCUAGAAGGGCUGUGGCUCAUUACCCUCAGCAAUUUUCCACCCAUUUAGUCUCCAAGCCAUUCCCUGGAAGAGACAAGUGGAUCUGAUGAGUGGGGCUGUGCCAUGAGACCUCCAGUAUUUAUGGAGAAGCCAGUCCUUUCUUCCUUCGCCAGGCCUCAAGAUUUCCCAAUGUGCCUCUAUUCUUACAUGGCGGAUGGGAUUCUUUGCCUUCAUACAGGAAGGAACUGGAACCUCAAGGCAGACAGGACAAAUACAAAUCUUGAAAAUGACCAUGACUCCUAGUUGGUCCCUACUUGCCUCCUGGUUUCACUAAGUAGAGGGUCACUCCAGGUAGAGCCCUAUCCAGCACACUGCUCCUUCCCCCACCUUUAGAUGUGGACAGUGGGUGGACUGGGCCCAUAGCCUGGACCUGGACAGCUGUGUCCUCCCAACCAGACUCUUCUGAUUCUGCUGCGCCUCACUCUUUCCUACUUAUCCUUGCCUAGAUCCCUCUUACUCCAUCUUUCCUGCUCAGGUCACAAUGGACAAUAAUCUCUGACCCCUGCCCCAGCUAGACUGGCACUGGAGAGCUGAGAGAGCCUCCUGUCCAUGGAGAAUUCUGGCAGAGCUGCUAUCUUCAGCCCCGUCUCAACUCUCCAGGGUCCUGUGCCCUUUGUCUACCUCUCCCAGGCCUGACUCUCCUCCCACUUGCAUGGACAUUGUCUUUCCUAGCUCUGGGCUGCCUUCUCAGCCUCAUGUUUUGCCCUUUUUCCUGCUGUGGGAGCCAGCCAUCACUGUAAUGCAUGAGUGCGGGGAUGUGGUGUGAAGGGAACUCCAGUUCUGGGGUCAGAAGAUUUAAAGUUUGAGACCUACUUCUGUCCCAUAAGCACUAUAAAAACUAAGCCAAAUAAACAACUUUGAUCCUC
rnacentral:lncRNA from 10 species